ensembl:lncRNA
UUUCUUUUUUUACUCCCACCAGAUGACACUGAUCUGCCUUCAAAAAUUUGAUUUUAAAGGCAUUGCAUCUAUUUUUAACAUGAAAUGCUACCAUAAUUGAAAAGUAAUAUAUAUAUAUAUUUUUAAUUAAAUAGUAUUAUUUUCAGUGUGAAAAAAAUUAUCAGAAUUAUUGCAUAAAUAUUAAAUAGAACCAUGAAAUUCUCUCAAAAUACAAAAUACAAAAGAAAAAUAUUAUUGAACAAAAAUAUUUUACAUUGAUUUCACUGAAAAAAAAAAAAAAAAGUUGAUGAUCAGUGCAGAUGUGUGUUGAAAUGUUUGGCCAGAAGGAUGUUCCGCCCCUCUUCUGUUUUCUUUAUAAAGACCUAAAGUGCCAAUGACUGCAUUUCAUCAGACCAGCAUCAGUGCUAAACUUGCAACAAUGAAAUCUUUGGCUCUGGUUUUGGUAUUUUGUGCCUGUGUUUCUUUAAGCGAUUCUGUCUGCUCCGUGACACCUCUAAAGCCAGGGGCAAGAUUUUGUGUCGAUCGCUAUGAUAAAUCCAGGCAUCCAAUGGGAAGUACUUGGACAAACAGCAAAUGUAUCAGAUGUACCUGCUCCCCUGGGCAAAUGGGAUGCUGUGACGUGUUGGGCCGAGUGACUAGCCUAUCUCAAGGCUGCAUUGUGGAGUAUGAUUACAAAAAAUGCACAUUUGACGUGUUUAAUCCAACUAACCCCAACAUUAAGUGUUCUUAUGGCCGUGUUGGAAAAUAAUUUUCAAUGAUCGAGUAAUGUGUCCUUUUUGGAUUAAAAUGAAUACCAAUCAAUUUUUGGAUCCAACUUGGAAAAAAACAUUGUCCUUUUUGGAUUAAAAUGAAUACCAAUCAAUUUUUGGA